GGCGGGGGCGCGGGCGGCAGUGGCGGGAGCGGCCCCUCGGCCAUCCUCCGUCUGCCCAGUUACCGGUUCCGCUACCGCCGCCGCUCCCGCU
ensembl:miRNA